AGUAAUGUGGCACAGUGGUUUGAGUGUUGGACUAUGAUUCUGGAGACCAGGGUUCAAUCCCCCACUUGGCCA